CGCUUAGAUGUUCUGGGCCGCACGCGCGCUACACUGAUGCAUUCAACGAGCCUAUCCUUGACCGACAGGUCCGGGUAAUCUUUGAAUCUGCAUCGUGACGGGGAUAGAUUAUUGCAAUUAUUAAUCUUCAACGAGGAAUGCCUAGUAGGCGCAAGUCAUCAGCUUGCGUCGAUUACGUCCCUGCCCUUUGUACACACCGCCCGUCGCUCCUACCGAUUGGGUGUGCUGGUGAAAUGUUCGGAUCGGCCGUUUGUCGCGGUUUCCGCGUCAUGUGGCUGAGAAGUUCAUUAAACCCUCCCACCUAGAGGAAGGAGAAGUCGUAACA
rnacentral:rRNA from 1 species